CGGCUCCAUACCCGCCAGCAAAAAACGAUAGAGAGGAUAUCAACGUCAUUACAAAAAGGACACUAGGGUAAAACUGAAACAAAAUUAUUGAAAUUAAAAAAAAAAAAAAAAAGAAAAAAAANNNNCAAUAUGCAAAACCACCCGCUCGGUUUCUUGUGCUUUUGCGGUGACGAGAAGCAGGAGAUGAAGAUGAUGAUGAAGAGGAAGAUGCAGAAGUUGGUUUACUGGCUGCCACUGAACAGUUCUCUUUCCUCAGGUUUUCCUCCUCGUCCAUAAAUAUCUGCCUACACCUGCACUCGACGCUACAAAAAGCUCUGUCUCCUUUGUACAUGUAGAUAUCCUUGCCAGCCAAGAGUUUCUGCCCACAAAGAAAGCAAUGCUCAAGAAAAGUAGGGACUGGGAAAGAUAAGUAGGAAGAUAAAGAGCUUGAAGAAGGCAAAGAAGAAGAAGAAGAAGAAGAAGGUUUAUUGACCAUCAUAGUGGC
rnacentral:misc_RNA from 1 species